rnacentral:rRNA from 1 species
CGUUCCCGGGCCUUGUACACACCGCCCGUCACACCAUGGGAGUGGGUUGCAAAAGAAGUAGGUAGCUUAACCUUCGGGAGGGCGCUUACCACUUUGUGAUUCAUGACUGGGGUGAAGUCGUAACAAGGUAACCGUAGGGGAACCUGCGGUUGGAUCACCUCCUUACC